CCUACGGGUGGCAGCAGUGGGGAAUUUUGCGCAAUGGACGAAAGUCUGACGCAGCAACGCCGCGUGGGUGAUGAAGGUCUUCGGAUUGUAAAACCCUGUCGUCAGGGACGAAGGUUGGGGUCUUAACAAGGCUUCAGCUUGACGGUACCUGGAGAGGAAGCCCCGGCUAACUCUGUGCCAGCAGCCGCGGUAAUACAGAGGGGGCAAGCGUUAUUCGGAAUUAUUGGGCGUAAAGGGCGCGUAGGCGGUUUCGUAAGUAGGAUGUGUAAUCCCCGAGCUUAACUUGGGAACUGCAUCCUAGACUGCGAGGCUAGAGUGCUGGAGAGGGUGGUAGAAUUCCACGUGUAGCGGUGAAAUGCGUAGAGAUGUGGAGGAAUACCAGUGGCGAAGGCGGCCACCUGGACAGUAACUGACGCUGAGGCGCGAAAGUGUGGGUAGCAAACAGGAUUAGAUACCCUUGUAGUC
rnacentral:rRNA from 1 species